rnacentral:rRNA from 1 species
GACGAACCGUGCGAACGUUGUUCGGAAUCACUGGGCUUAAAGGGCGCGUAGGCGGGCUGACAAGUCUGGGGUGAAAUGCCGCGGCUCAACCGUGGAACUGCCUUAGAUACUGUCGGCCUCGAGGAAGGUAGGGGCAUGCGGAACUGUAGGUGGAGCGGUGAAAUGCGCUGAUAUCUACAGGAACUCCGGUGGCGAAAGCGGCGUGCUGGACCUUUUCUGACGCUGAGGCGCGAAAGCUAGGGGAGCAAACGGG